rnacentral:rRNA from 1 species
UACAGAGGGGGCAAGCGUUGUUCGGAAUUACUGGGCGUAAAGGGCGCGUAGGCGGCCAUCUAAGUCGGGUGUGAAAGCCCCGGGCUCAACCUGGGAAUUGCAUUCGAGACUGAAUGGCUAGGGUGCGGAAGAGGGAAGCGGAAUUUCCGGUGUAGCAGUGAGAUGCGUAGAUAUCGGAAGGAACACCAGUGGCGAAAGCGGCUUCCUGGUCCAGCACCGACGUUCAGGCACGAAAGCGUGGGGAGCAAACAGG